GCCCUUGUGGCCUAGUGGAUAAGGCAUCGGACUUCUAAUCCGAGGAUCCUGGGUUCAAAUCCCAGCAGGGGUG
rfam:Asian citrus Psyllid, Diaphorina citri - Florida Strain, whole genome shotgun sequence.